CCGUAACAUCGGCAGUCUGCGAGUUCUGGUGAGGAACGUGGAGGAUGAAUCAACACAAGAAGUGUGGCGACGGGAGGGACAACAGGGGAGGGGAUGGCUGCUUGCUUCAGUCAACAUCGGUACUAACAACAGGAACUAUCAGGUUGUUCUAGAGGCUGUUGUGGGAAAUGGAGACCAGGGAGACAUAGCUGUUGACGAUGUGUCUUUCGCAACCUACUGUCCUCUUCAUGCAGAAGGU